UACGUAGGGUGCGAGCGUUGUCCGGAAUUAUUGGGCGUAAAGAGCUUGUAGGCGGUUUGUCGCGUCUGCUGUGAAAAUCCGAGGCUCAACCUCGGACUUGCAGUGGGUACGGGCAGACUAGAGUGUGGUAGGGGAGACUGGAAUUCCUGGUGUAGCGGUGAAAUGCGCAGAUAUCAGGAGGAACACCGAUGUCGAAGGCAGGUCUCUGGGCCACUACUGACGCUGAGAAGCGAAAGCAUGGGUAGCGAACAGGAUUA
rnacentral:rRNA from 1 species